CCCACCCACCCUCUGUUCCAAUGGAAUUACCCGCCACCGCCGGCUGGAGUUGGAGCUGCUGAACUCGUGUUGCUCGGCGAAGCUCCAGAGCGCCGGCCAAGAAAGGAGUGCACGUUUUGCUCCGUCCUGGAUGCUUUCAGAGGGGAUCGGCUGGAGCUGCCAGAGCCUCGAACCACAGGGGUGGGAGAGAUGUCCUCCACCUGAGCCAGGAUAUCUACAAGCUUGGAUGGCAGUGUCCUAGAAUUUGAGGACAUUAUAGUCAUCCUCAGGGGGGAAAUCUACAUGUCUGCAUAUGCAGAAGAUUAAGACUGUGUGGAACUUGAGACUGUUCAUUGGCAGCAACCUGAGGAAUUUGUCUUCACUCUAAUGUUGCUCUGAGGAGCGUGGAAACUGUAUCAAAAACUCUGAACCAUCAGGUGAG